GCUGGCGUAGCUCAGUCGGUAGAGCAGCGGUUUUGUAAACCGCCGGUCGGAGGUUCGAUUCCUCUCGCCAGCUCCA
rnacentral:tRNA from 1 species